ACGCUCGACACCUACGGGGGCAGCAGUGGGGAAUAUUGCACAAUGGGGGGAACCCUGAUGCAGCGACGCCGCGUGAGUGAAGAAGUACUUCGGUAUGUAAAGCUCUAUCAGCAGGGAAGAAAAUGACGGUACCUGACUAAGAAGCCCCGGCUAACUACGUGCUAGCAGCCGCGGUAAUCUGAGCGGGCUGGCAAGGC
rnacentral:rRNA from 1 species